rnacentral:rRNA from 1 species
GUCUUGUAAUUGGAAUGAUGGGAAUCUAAACCCUUCCCAGAGUAUCAAUUGGAGGGCAAGUCUGGUGCCAGCAGCCGCGGUAAUUCCAGCUCCAAUAGCGUAUAUUAAAGUUGUUGCAGUUAAGAAGCUCGUAGUUGAAUUUCUGCCUUAUCAUUAAUUUCGCUUCCGAACGUAAUUUUAUUGAUUUGGCAUCUUCUGGAUUUAUAUUUUUAUUAAUAUUUUUCCAGUAUUUACUUUGAGAAAACUAGAGUGUUUCAAACAGGCUAUUGCCUUGAAUACUACAGCAUGGAAUAAUGAAGUAGGACUUUGGUUCUAUUUUGUUGGUUAUCGAACCAUAGUAAUGGUUAAUAGGAGCAGUUGGGGGCAUUCGUAUUUAACUGUCAGAGGUGAAAUUCUUAGAUUUGUUAAAGACGAACUACUGCGAAAGCAUUUGCC